UACGUAGGCAGCAAGCGUUGUUCGGAGUUACUGGGCGUAAAGGGUGCGUAGGCGGCUUUUUAAGUCUGGUGUGAAAUCUCCCGGCUCAACUGGGAGGGUGCGCCGGAUACUGAGGGGCUAGAGUGUGGGAGAGGAAAGUGGAAUUCCUGGUGUAGCGGUGAAAUGCGCAGAUAUCAGGAGGAACACCGGUGGCGAAGGCGGGUCUCUGGGCCGAUACUGACGCUGAGGAGCGAAAGCGUGGGGAGCGAACAGG
rnacentral:rRNA from 1 species